UGGGCGAGCUGCUGGAGAAAAAAAGGCGAUCCUGAAGAGUUCGUCGCAUGCGAAACUAUGAUUGAACACAGGAUGAGCUGCAAAAAGACGGAGCCGAAGCGCCGACUUGGAAGAGCGAUUGAAUUGAUCUGUCCCA